UUCAGCCACGCGUGUACCUCCGCUGUCGGCUGCCGGCCGCAUGCCGCAUGUGAGGAGUCGCUCCAAGAAACGGCUCGUGAGUGUGGGGCUCGGUUCCCUCUCCUCCAGUUCUCCACCACGCGCGGUCCAGUCACCUGCCGCCGCCCCGACUCCACCGGAGCCCCAACUGCUGCCACCGGAUACAUCUGGUCGGAGUACCAGUAGGUCCGCCGGAAACACCGAGUCCCGGUGCCUCUGGCCAUGGAGCAAGGGAGUCUGGUAAAGGAGCUAUUUUACCAAGGCAACGGGCCUCCGGGGCUCGGAGAGGCCAGGAUCCUCCUUCGAUCUAAGCAAACACAUUCCACCUUCCAGAUCAAGGUGAUUGUGUUGAUUCUGCUUCCUUUUCCAAGCCAUGGAGUCAUGCCCGAGGAAAGAGUCAGCAGAACAGGAACGUGUACCUGUACUUCUACUGAAACUUAACGACACUGCUCCUCAAAGAAAGACGGUUAUUAUACUACUGCACAACUCUUACAAAUGCAAGGAAUGGUUGUGUCCACUGCUUCAGGCACUGAACUCAUCUUGGAGGAGUGGGAAAACUAUACCUUUCAUUUUUACACGGUACCAUACAUUACUUCCACUUGUUAAAAUUAUUAUUUUUAUCAUCCUUAAAUUGUGCUGUUCAAUUUGUCCAUCAAAUAUAGUUUUUAAUAAAUGGAUAGUUAUGUACUCAAAGAAUAUGAGACCAAAAAUAUGUAAGAUGUUCCUUUAGUACCUCUCCCCUUCUGCAAGUUCAGCUGAUCAAUAUUGCUAGUGUCGGUUCAGCUGAAUGUUUGGACAGGGAAAUCAUGUCUAAAGGGAGUAAGAAAGUCAGCACUGCUGCAUGACGUUUAUAAUUGAAUAGUCAAACAUUUUGAGUAGUAGCAUAAAAGCCAGAAAAGAUGACAAAAGGGAAAUAGAGGAGGUAGAGAUCUCAAUUGUAGUUCUGUAGAUCGGUAUACAAGAAAACACACACUUACCAUUAAUCUGGAUAAGUGAGUUAGCGUGAUAGUACGUUUUCAAACUCUCUGAAAGUAGAUGGCUGCCAAGCUUUUGUUUGCUGGAGAAGUGCCAUGAUACAGAUGUAUAUAUCUAGCAUUGUCACCUCCAUAAACAGUGAAACUUCAAAAGAAACAAUUGUCACAGUCAGCUAUCUUCAAUCAUAAUGAUAGUCUCAUUCAUUGCUAGGUUUGUAACCUUCUUGAAAAUUAUGGUCCAACUAAUCUGGAGAAAAUCAAUUGGCAUAGGAGGAGACAAUGUAUACCCAUAAAAUUCAUGUUAAUAGGUUUACAUUGAAUUAUUGGUUGAGACAAACCAACAAAUUAGUAUGGAUGUUACAAUUUGAAUUCCAAGAAUUAUCAGAUACAAAUCUGUGACUCCAUUAUCAAACUGAGUUAACAUCUUUAUCACCAUGGAUGAAAGAGCAAUAUAACAAGGUACAAAGACAUAAUAGUUGUAGGAAAGAGAAAGGAUGGAGGGGAGAGGGCCGUGUGUGUGAUAUCCACCUCGUGUGGAUCUGGCCGCUCGUCAGCGAGCCUCGCUGGUGAGCAGCAGGAGAUCGACGUGAGACACCUCACCUCGAACUGACUCUUGCUCGACUGCACCUUGAAUCUCACCAGUGCGUGGCGUGGCCAUUGUGCAUCACAUAGCAGUUUGUAAAAUUGGGAACAUGGCAAUAUGAGGAAAAUAGAGAAACAAUACACAUCAUGGCGAUGCUGAACUUCAACAGCCAUGCACAACGCAGCAGAUCCUAAGCGCCCUUCUCCUUGCCGGCGCCAAACAAUAGCUGGCGGUGAGGCGCUGCCGGCCGGCGUCACCUCUCCUACUGUGCCGCGGAUCCGUGUCGUUAAAGACGAAGAAUUGUCAAGUCGCUGCAGAGAUGCAAAUUAAAAUUCCAAUACAUAUCUGUUAGUAUGCAAAAUGUUUAAAACUAAGGUUGUACCUUGCAAUGCACCACAACAACCAACGUUUUAGCAUGCCAUUUAUUCCAAGAGCAGGAUCGUAACAUACUUUCAGAAAAGUGAAGUCCAGAUCAUACACUCAUGAAUAAAUGCUUUGGUUUUCAACUGCCACAAUGAUAUCCCCCCUACUGCAAGCCCCUGCCUAUAGCUCUAAACUGAACCAACAAGUUAGCAUGUCAUUUAUUUACAAAGUAAUGCUUAGCAACCUAAUUCCCCAAAGGCAGGAGUCUAGAUAGUUUCAGAAUGUGCAGUUUAGAUUAUUUUUUCUAGUAUCAAUUCUGAACAUGACACAACAGUUUAGCUCCUUUUAUUUAAGCUCACACCAUGUGAUGAUUUUUUUUGCAGUUGCAAUCGCAGUAGGUUUACUUGCACAAUGCUAGUAGCUUAUUCUUUCUGUAUUCUGAAAUAAAACAAAAAAAUAGACCUUAGAAACAUCCAAGUAGCACCAAAAGAAUAAAACAGGGGAGGUUAGAAAAUGCUCAAGCAUCAGGAUGGAUGAGUAAUUAUAAAAUAGAAACAAAAGGGCCUUCUUCCAUUAUUUUUUGUUCCCUGUCACUUAUAUACAUCAUAGCAACACACAUGCAUUUUAACUAUAGAAAAACAUAAUUCCUAACUGAGGAACAAAGUUAUAUUAGAGCACCACAUUUUAUAAGCACUAUACAUCUAUACUUACCUUACUUGGGUAUGACCUAAGUAGGCUUGACAUUCACCAUGAUUCAUACACACAAUGUACUACAUCUGAGAUAGAAUGGUACCCACAAAUUAAACAAUAAUCUACAUAAAUCAAAAUUAAAAUGUCUAUUACUUUGCCUCUUCUACGCAAUGGUACAUACAGUUGGAGAAACAUGAAAAUGCAAAUGAAUAAAUUCUCCAUAUUUUUGGUGAUCCAUUAAUAUUUGGAGGUAUAAAUAAGGAAUAGAAAAAUUAAGAAACAGUGACUUAAUUAGUCUUUGACCAAUAUUUGAAGGUAUAAAUAAGUAGUCAAAUUGGUAUCCAAUUGCCGGCUUGAGUUUCACAUUUGAAGACCACUUCUUUCCAUGGAUUAUAGGCAUUAGAUACUGGUUGAUUUCAAAGUUUCAAUUUACAUGAAUUGGAA